rnacentral:rRNA from 1 species
UGAGGAAUAUUGGUCAAUGGACGCAAGUCUGAACCAGCCAUGCCGCGUGAAGGAUGAAGGCCUUCUGGGUUGUAAACUUCUUUUACCUGGGAAGAAACCUCUUUUUUCUAAGAGAGUUGACGGUACCAGAGGAAUAAGCACCGGCUAACUCCGUGCCAGCAGCCGCGGUAAUACGGAGGGUGCAAGCGUUAUCCGGAUUUACUGGGUUUAAAGGGUGUGUAGGCGGGCUGUUAAGUCAGUGGUGAAAUCUCCGGGCUCAACCCGGAAACUGCCAUUGAUACUAAUAGUCUUGAAUUUUGUUGAGGUAGGCGGAAUAAGUCAUGUAGCGGUGAAAUGCAUAGAUAUGACUUAGAACUCCAAUUGCGAAGGCAGCUUGCUAAACAAAUAUUGACGCUGAGGCACGAAAGCGUGGGGAUCAAACAGGAUUAGAUACCCGGGUAGUCC